rnacentral:tRNA from 2 species
GGGGCGGUAGCUUAACGGGAAAGCACUGGGUUGUCACCCCUGAGAUGAGGGUUCGAAUCCCUUCCGCUCCACCA